rnacentral:lncRNA from 1 species
UUUUGUAUAAAUAGAGAUCUGAUGUGAUUCAUUUUUCCACAUCUCUUUUCAUUAUAUUGCAAAUAUGGUUCGUCUUCGUCGCCGAUAUGGAAAAGUGAUUUAUUCGAGAGACAGGUCACCGAUAGAGAUGAUCUUUUGGAACAUUUGUAGUUUCGAGCAACUACAGAGGGAGUUGGUUCGUUGGUUAGACAGAGACAUACUUGUAGGUGAAAAAAUUAGAAG